UACGAAGGGGGCUAGCGUUGUUCGGAUUUACUGGGCGUAAAGCGCACGUAGGCGGAUUGUUAAGUCGGGGGUGAAAUCCUGGAGCUCAACUCCAGAACUGCCUUCGAUACUGGCAAUCUCGAGUCCGGAAGAGGUAAGUGGAACUCCUAGUGUAGAGGUGGAAUUCGUAGAUAUUAGGAAGAACACCAGUGGCGAAGGCGGCUUACUGGUCCGGUACUGACGCUGAGGCGCGAAAGCGUGGGGAGCAAACAGG
rnacentral:rRNA from 1 species